GACGUAGGGCGCGAGCGUUGUCCGGAUUUAUUGGGCGUAAAGAGCUCGUAGGCGGCUUGUCGCGUCGAAUGUGAAAACCCGAGGCUCAACUUCGGGCUUGCAUUCGAUACGGGCAGGCUAGAGUGCGGUAGGGGAGAUUGGAAUUCCUGGUGUAGCGGUGGAAUGCGCAGAUAUCAGGAGGAACACCGAUGGCGAAGGCAGAUCUCUGGGCCGUAACUGACGCUGAGGAGCGAAAGCAUGGGGAGCGAACAGG
rnacentral:rRNA from 1 species